AUGAGCUGGAAUGUACGGGGCUUGAACUCGCCGGCAAAGAGAGAAGCAGUUAGAGAAGUAGUAGCUGCGCAUCGUACUGCCAUCCUGUGCAUGCAAGAGACCAAGAUAGAUGCUUGGUCACCAGCCCUAGUCCGUGAAAUUGGUGGCCAAACGCUGCAGGGCUGCGCUGUCAUGCCCGCAAUCGGCACCCGCGGGGGCAUUGCCAUUCUAUGGAACAAAGACCUUGUAGAUGUCGUCACACACGCCGUGGGCCAAUUUGCAGUCACGAUUAGAGUCACCGUA
rnacentral:rRNA from 1 species